GUGCUCACUUCGGCAGCACAUAUACUAAAAUUGGAACAAUACAGAGAUUAGCACGGCCCCUGUGCAAGGAUGAAGCACAAAAUAUUUAGGCCUAUAAUAUUAUA